rnacentral:rRNA from 1 species
UACGUAGGCAGCAAGCGUUGUUCGGAGUUACUGGGCGUAAAGAGUGCGUAGGCGGUCUUUUAAGUUUGGUGUGAAAUCUCCCGGCUCAACUGGGAGGGUGCGCCGAAAACUGGGAGGCUUGAGGAUGGGAGAGGCAUGCGGAAUUCCUGGUGUAGCGGUGAAAUGCGUAGAUAUCAGGAGGAACACCUGCGGUGUAGACAGCAUGCUGGACCAUUUCUGGCGCUGAGGCACGAAAGCGUGGGUAGCAAACAGG